AUUCGGUUUUUUUUUUUGGGGGGGGGGGGUGAGGUACGGGGGGGGGGUAUGGGGGAGGCAUAUUGCACUUACAGUGUUGGUUUGUUCAGCUGAAUUGAUUUUUUUUUAAACCCUUACCCUCCGUCUUGGAGUCAAUACUGGGUAUUGGCUCCAAGGCAGAAGAGUGGUAAGGGCUAGGCAAUGGGGGUCAGGUGACUUGCCCAGGGUCACACAGCUGGGAAGUGUCUGAGUUCAGAUUUUAAUCUAGGACCUCCCAUCUCUAGGCCUGGCUCUCAAUCCACUGAGCUACCCAGCUGCCCCCCUGAAUUGAUUUUUUAAUAAAGAGGCUGAUCAUCCAACUGGGGGUCAUCAAGUAGAAGCCAGUUGGCCCCUUUUACUUGUGGAUAAUCUCACUUUUGAAUGAGUAUGGAUGUUCUGCAUCUUAAUAUAACCAAUACAAUAUCUUUGUUAUUUGUAAAUAGAGAGAUAUGGAGAAACUUACUAUCUGCAGGGAAUUCUCCACCUUGAACACUGCACUGGGUUGAAUCUACAUUUAUCCUUGUUAAAUUUUCUCUCUCUCUCUCUCUUUUUUUUUAACUCUACCUUCUGUGUUAGAAUUAAUACUAAAUACUGGUUCCAAGGGAGGAGGGCACUGAGGGCUAGGUAACUGGGGUUAAGUGACUUGCCUAGGGUCAUACAUCUAGGAAGUGUCUGAGGCCAAACUGAACCCAGGACCUCCCAUUUCUAGGCCUGGCUCUCUAUCCACUGAGUCACCUAGUUGCCCCUACAUUUCAUCUCAUUAAAGCCUCACAUUAAGUUAAAAUCAACUCCCUAAAUAUCAGACAGGGAAGAUAUAACUAGUUUGCAGUUUAUUAAAAAUAGAUCUUGGGGCUUCAAUGAACUAAAGGCUUCCUAGAAAUCAGCAGGGUGAUAUGACAACCAAGAUAUUCCAUGUGGAUGUACACCGAACUGAGAGGAAAAUGUGUUAGAGAGAGAGAGAGAGACCCAGACACAGAGAAAAAGAAAAUGAGAGAGGAGAGACUGAGAGAGAAAAAGAAAAUGAGAGGGAGAGAGACAGAGACACAGAAGCACAGAGAGAGAAAGAAAAUGAGAGAGGAGAGAGAGAGAGAAAAAGAAAAUGAGAGAGGGAGAGAGACAGACACAGAAGCACAGAGAGAGAAAGAAAAUGAGAGAGGAGAGACAGAGACAGAGAAAAAGAAUGAGAGAGGGAGAGAGACAGAGACACAGAGAAAGAAAAUGAGAGAGGGAGAAAGACACAGAGACAGAGAAAAAGAAAGUGAGAGGGAGAGAGACAGAGACACAGAAGCACAGAGAAAGAAAAUGAGAGAGAGGGAGAGAGACACAGAGACAGAGAAAAAGAAAAUGAGAGAGGGAGAGAGAGACACACACAGACACAGAGAUAGAGGCACAGUGGGAGAGUGA
rnacentral:lncRNA from 1 species